rnacentral:rRNA from 1 species
ACGAACGCUGGCGGCGUGCUUAACCCAUGCAAGUCGAACGGAAAGGCCCUGCUUUUGUGGGGUGCUCGAGUGGCGAACGGGUGAGUAACACGUGAGUAACCUGCCCUUGACUUUGGGAUAACUUCAGGAAACUGGGGCUAAUACCGGAUAGGAGCUCCUGCUGCAUGGUGGGGGUUGGAAAGUUUCGGCGGUUGGGGAUGGACUCGCGGCUUAUCAGCUUGUUGGUGGGGUAAUGGCUUACCAAGGCUUUGACGGGUAGCCGGCCUGAGAGGGUGACCGGCCACAUUGGGACUGAGAUACGGCCCAGACUCCUACGGGAGGCAGCAGUGGGGAAUAUUGCACAAUGGGCGGAAGCCUGAUGCAGCAACGCCGCGUGCGGGAUGACGGCCUUCGGGUUGUAAACCGCUUUCGCCUGUGACGAAGCGUGAGUGACGGUAAUAGGUAAAGAAGCACCGGCUAACUACGUG